rnacentral:rRNA from 1 species
AGUCUGCAACUCGACUGCACGAAGUCGGAAUUGCUAGUAAUCGCGGAUCAGCAUGCCGCGGUGAAUACGUUCCCGGGCCUUGUACACACCGCCCGUCACACCAUGAGAGUCGGGAACACCCGAAGUCCGUAGUCUAACCGCAAGGGGGGCGCGGCCGAAGGUGGGUCCGGUAAUUGGGGUGAAGUCGUAACAAGGUAUC